UACGUAGGUGGCAAGCGUUGUCCGGAUUUACUGGGCGUAAAGAGCGCGUAGGCGGUCGUUCAAGUCGCGUGUGAAAGCCCCCGGCUCAACUGGGGAGGGUCACGCGAUACUGAUCGACUGGAAGGCAGGAGAGGGUAGUGGAAUUCCCGGUGUAGUGGUGAAAUGCGUAGAUAUCGGGAGGAACACCAGUGGCGAAGGCGACUACCUGGCCUGUUCUUGACGCUGAGGCGCGAAAGCUAGGGGAGCAAACGGG
rnacentral:rRNA from 1 species